CAAAUUUGCAAAUUUACUUAUUAUGAGAGAAGUAAGUCUUUCUUUUAUAAUUCAACAAAUAAUCAACCAAAUGAGUAAUGAAUAAUCAACCAGAUGACAAAUAUUACAUGGUGCAAUAUUUAUUUAAUGUACAUAUCUGUUAAACAUCAUUCAUUUAUAAAAAGAAUCGUGGAGAACAGAAUGUGGUUUGGAAGCAAACUGAUGUGUAGAAUUGCGUUGUGAUAGAUGGUGCAGAAUGGUCCCAUGGUGAAUGUCUGGUAUUGUUUCCCCACCUAAGUGCGGGUGUUGUUGUUGUUGCAUAUGGAGGUAGUGAUCCUCGUUCAGCUCCUAGGAUAGGUGAGCAAACUCGUUCCGGUCCAUAGGACCGAUUGCUGUAGGAACAUGAUGGUCAUUGGUUAUUUAAAGGCGCCAACACCUCGCCUUGUCAUAUCCAGCAUCAUAGGCACUCAGUAUUUAAGCAAGAGCCGCAGCCGCCCGCCCUCUCACUGUGAAUCUCCACUCGAUACCGCUGAUUGUUCGCGACUGCAAUUACAGCUAUUCCGUAUGAAGCAUUCCACUAUCCGAAGCAUGUGGACGCGUCUGGUAGCUAAGCUUCUCGUAAAACCGAUGACACCACACAGAUCGGAGCUCAAAGUUUCAGCCUAUGUAGUGCUCAUUGUUAUCACGUACCGGGACCUAAGUGCCGGUGUCUGUUGUCCGCGAAAGACGGACAUAGACAUAGGAAUUGCUCCAAAUUUCAUCAUCUUCCCCAAAUGGUAUCACAUGCGGCACCGAUUUUGCAUAAUAAUGGCCUCGUCUUUUCCUGAUCCGGAUCCGGAUUUCGCUGUUCCAUUGUGUUACAUGCGCGUUCGACGACCACGCCCUUAACUCGGACUGCGACUGAAAACAUUAAGCAACUAUAAUUCUUAAAUAUUUAAAAAAAUUGAUUGGCCAAUUUUGAUGAUGAUUGAUUGACCAUUCUGCUCAAA